GACGAACGCUGGCGGCGUGCUUAACACAUGCAAGUCGAACGGAAAGGCCCUGCUUUUGUGGGUUGCUCGAGUGGCGAACGGGUGAGUAACACGUGAGUAACCUGCCCUUGACUUUGGGAAAACUUCAGGAAACUGGGGCUAAUCCCGGAUAGGAGCUCCUGCUGCAUGGUGGGGGUUGGAAAGUUUCGGCGGGUGGGGAUGGACUCGCGGCUUAUCAGCUUGUUGGUGGGGUAGUGUCUUACCAAGGCUUUGACGGGUAUCCGGCCUGAGAGGGUGACCGGCCACAGUGGGACUGAGAUACGGCCCAGACUCCUACGGGAGGCAGCAGUGGGGAAUAUUGAACAAUGGGCGGAAGCCUGAUGCAGCAACGCCGCGUGCGGGAUGACGGCCUUCGGGUUGUAAACCGCUUUCGCCUGUGACGAAGCGUGAGUGACGGUAAUGGGUAAAGAAGCACCGGCUAAGUACGUG
rnacentral:rRNA from 1 species